AACGUAGGAGACAAACGUUAUCCGGAGUUACUGGGCGUAAAGGGCGUGUAGGUGGUUCUGUAAGUCUGGCGUGAAAUUUUUCGGCUUAACCGGGAAAGGUCGUCGGAUACUGCAGGGCUAGAGGACGGUAGAGGCGUGUGGAAUUCCGGGUGUAGUGGUGAAAUGCGUAGAGAUCCGGAGGAACACCAGUGGCGAAGGCGACACGCUGGGCCGUACCUGACACUGAUGCGCGAAAGCAUGGGGAGCAAACAGG
rnacentral:rRNA from 1 species